UGUAAAUGUAAUCAACUCUUUUUACUUCCCUGGUUUCGAAAGGAACCGAACGAGAAUCAGAAGAAGAUAAAGAAAGUCAUAUUUUAGGAAAACCGAACUAAACCGGAAUUAAAUUCGGCCGCGGUCGGAUUCAAUUAAAAAUUGGGUUUCUCAGUUCGACGGAAUACAAUUCGUAUCGGUGAGGAGAAAUAGAGAGAGAGAGAGAGAGAGAGAGAGAGAGAGAGAUGGAGGACGAGUUGCUUGCGGGCGUGCCGUGCUCUUCUCGCGCCGUCGAGUCAGUGAUCCGCGUUUCCACGGCGGGUGGAUUAUAUGGCUUUUGCGCCGGACCUCGUAACGCUCGCAAACUGGGUAUAAUGAAGAUAUAUCUCUUCUUAUUUAUCUAUUUAAGAUUUUUGAAAAAUCUUCAUCUUGCUGAUGAGUUAAAGUUGCCAGGUUUAAGCGGCGUUUCUCAGGCUUCCUAUGUGGCAAAAUCCAUUGGCAAAAUCGGGUUUCAAUGCGGUAUAGUGAGUGGUAUCUUUACUCUGACUAACUGUGGCCUUCAGAGAUAUCGAGGUGAAUGCUUUGGUCGGAGGAGCUGUGGCUGGAGCAGCUGUUGCUCUUCGGACUAGAAACUGCUCUCACGUUGUUACCACCGCCGGACUCGUCUCUAUUUUUAGUGUUUUGGCUAAUUCCACCAGGACUGAUCUGAAACAACAACACUAAGGUCUCGGAUAAGUCCAUUCAUCAAGACACUUGUGUCCUGGAACUGGAACCUGACAGAUGAUCAUACCAACUCUCUGAUUCACAGACAAAUUUAGUUGCCUGAACCAAGUGGAUGGUCGGUCUUCUGUAGACCACAAUUUUUUGGUCUUACCACCCUCUGUUAUAAUCUUUGCUAAGGAAAGAAAGUGAAACUCAAAGAGACUCUGUCCGAACCAAAAACAUUAUUUGAAUCACUGGGUGAUUGAAACUUGUGGGAAAAUGUAUAAUGUUUUUUUCGCAAAGUUAAAGUAUUCAAAUCAAAUAUCCAAACA